UCUGCAGCCAUACCAACCUGAACUUGCCCGAUCUUGUCUGAUCUCGGAAGCUAAGCAGGGUCGGGCCGGGUUAGUGCUUGGAUGGGGGAAAGUGAGAGGUGAAAGAG
rnacentral:rRNA from 1 species